UACGUAGGGUGCAAGCGUUGUCCGGAAUUAUUGGGCGUAAAGAGCUCGUAGGCGGUUUGUCGCGUCGGCUGUGAAAACUCGGGGCUCAACCCCGAGCCUGCAGUCGAUACGGGCAGACUAGAGUGCUGUAGGGGAGACUGGAAUUCCUGGUGUAGCGGUGAAAUGCGCAGAUAUCAGGAGGAACACCGGUGGCGAAGGCGGCUCUCUGGAACGCAACUGACGCUGAGACGCGAAAGCGUGGGGAGCAAACAGG
rnacentral:rRNA from 1 species